rnacentral:lncRNA from 1 species
AAAAUCCCUGGUGUUUUAGAGUCGAGACUCUCAGUCUUGACCCGCUGCGUCGGUGACAGUUGAGAGUCCCUGCUCGAGCUUGAAUAAACGACCCUCAUGUGCUUGCAUCGGAAACGGCUUCCUGGUGGUCUUUGGGACUUCGCAAUCUGGGCACAACAGCCACAAUAUGGGCUGUUUCCCACUCACCACCACACUGGCUUCUCAUGGAGUUUGGAAAACAGAAUGGGAAGCUUGACUCCCACUGGCUGAGAGCUGGUAGCAAGGAAAUUGCUGAUUUUGGAUACAGCAAGGGAGGAGUCAUGAGGAAAUUUAAAACAGCAACAGAGACAUGGGAAUUAUAAGGAAAAGAACACAGAACACUACUAGCACAUGCUGGUGUCUGACCCGCGUAAAUCAUCUAUCAAAUGGGAACAUUUCCAUCUUGUGUACCGUAUGGUGAUAGAAAUUUGGUAAGAUAAAACCAUGAAAAUAUUUAGAGAAGUAUUACACAAAUAUAAGUAGUCUUUGUUAUUGAAACAUUUAUGAAGAUACUAACGCCUCAGAGGAUUUUCUGAAAAGGGCUUGUUUGUAGUGUUGCUGAUGUAAG